rnacentral:rRNA from 1 species
UACGUAGGUGGCGAGCGGUAUCCGGAAUUGCUGGGCGUAAAACGCACGCCGGCGGCCGGGUUAGUCUGACGUGAAAUCUCCUGGCUUAACAGGGAGGGGUCGUUGGAAACUGCCUGGCUUGAGGCAGCGAGAGGGGCGCGGAAUUCCCGGUGUAGAGGUGGAAUACGUAGAGAUCGGGAGGAACACCAGAGGCGAAAGCGGCACCCUGGCGCCGGCCUGACGCUCAGGUGCGAAAGCGUGGGGAGCAAACGGG